GAAGCCUAUGUCCAUUUGGGUGUAAGGCAAUGUGAUGUUAUGGGGUAUGCCUGGGGUCACUGAUCAACUCGAAGUCCAUUAUUGAAUGUGGCUUUGGUAUAUAGCCCAAAGCGGGUGAUAGGCCCGUGCGAGUUGAUUGUCAGUCAUGAUGGUGACCUCCUAGAUGCAUGCUCCGUGGAGUCGGAUUGCUUGAGAAUGCAGUCCAAAGUUGGUGGUAAACUCCAUCAAAGGCUAAAUACUGGCACGAGUCCGAUAGCAAACAAGUACCGUGAGGGAAAGUUGAAAAGUACUCUGAAGAGAGAGUAAAUAGUACGUGAAACCACAUACAGGUAAACUGGUGGAGUCCAGCUGCGUGUUUUGGGGACUUAGCUGGUGUGUGUAUUGCAGAUGUUGUAAACUGCUGCGUGUGGCUUGUCUAUAAUGGCAAGUUAGGCUUACGCCUAAUUCACGUCCGUUAUGUAUGCGGUGUGAGCCUUGCGUGUGCGUCUGUUUGCACGCCAGUGUCAUUCCUCAGGACUGACAUCACAGUCAAUAUUGCUGCUAGUGUGUGAUGACCAAACCGUAGAAUGUCGGGCCUUGAAGCUCGCUAUCUGCGUGGAUGGCAGGUGGUUUGGCCGUUCGCCUUUGUGUGGACGGUCGAACUUAAACAUGGCUACGGCCAGCCGGUUAUCAUGCUGUGUACAUUGCUUACAUUUAACUGUGCAGUAUAUUGGUAAUGAGUGUCGUGGCCUAAUCGCGUGAGUGUCAGGCUUGCUCAUGGAGGGUUAUGUGUAACAACAUGCUCGUCGUGUGGCUUUGUCUGUAUGUUCGCGUGGUGCGGUUGCGUAUUCGCAUAAACUGUGGUGUUGUGGUAGACGU
rnacentral:rRNA from 1 species